AGAGUUUGAUCCUGGCUUAGGAUGAACGCUAGCUACAGGCUUAACACAUGCAAGUCGAGGGGCAGCAUGUUGGUUGCUUGCAACCAACGAUGGCGACCGGCGCACGGGUGAGUAACGCGUAUCCAACCUACCCUUGUCCAUCGGAUAACCCGUCGAAAGGCGGCCUAACACGAUAUGCGGUUCACAGCAGGCAUCUAACGUGAACGAAAUGUAAAGGAGAAGGAUGGGGAUGCGUCUGAUUAGCUUGUUGGCGGGGUAACGGCCCACCAAGGCGACGAUCAGUAGGGGUUCUGAGAGGAAGGUCCCCCACAUUGGAACUGAGACACGGUCCAAACUCCUACGGGAGCA
rnacentral:rRNA from 1 species